AAGGCCAAAAUCCUCAAGAUACUGCAGGCAGCCUCUUCUGAGCAGCCUGUCAGCCUCCAUCGCCUUGUCCUUCAUAGCUUCAGGGUUUUCAGUGAUAUUCACGAUGUUAGACCCAGUUCCUCCUAGCUUGUGGGCUUCCUAUCAUGUGUUUGGGCUGCUGUCGUGUGGACAAGGACUAUGUACCGCCGUCCUGACUCUGAGAGCAGCAGCAUGCGCGAAAACAACUCCGGAGCUGUACUACAUGUCUCUUAUUCUGACGGUUGCCUCUAUUUUCAGUACAGGUGAAAUAAUUUUCUUGGAAACGUACACGUACUGUACGGGAGCACUCAUACACAGACUCUUCAGUUCAGGGGAAU